rnacentral:rRNA from 1 species
AACGGGCCCAUCCAUCUCCUCCAAUCUGCGACAUAUUGCGUCCUUCCUCGACCUCCAUAGUAUACGGCCCCCCAGGAGCCUCAAAUGUCACAGUGUCUCCUGUCAGCUUGUUGAAUUUCAACCUCACAUUGCAUGAGACGAUCUGUGUAAAAUAAGCAAAAUGACACAAUGCAGUAAUGCCAACACUAAAAAUAAAAUAGUUGUUACAUUUCAUCUAAUUUCUUACCGCCGCAUGAUGAAAACUCGGCUGGAAGUAGAUGCCGAAUAGCUUGCCAGUUGCAAGGCUG